rnacentral:rRNA from 1 species
AGGAUUAACGCUGGCGGCGUGCCUAACACAUGCAAGUCGAACGAGGUAGCAAUACCUAGUGGCAGACGGGUGAGUAACGCGUGGUCAACCUACCGUUGAGUGGGGGAUAACUAGCCGAAAGGUUAGCUAAUACCGCAUACGAGUUCGGGGGCAUCCCUGGAUCUUAAAAGGAGCAAUCCGCUCGAUGACGGGACCGCGUCCCAUUAGCUAGAUGGUGGGGUAACGGCCUACCAUGGCACCGAUGGGUAGCUGGUUUGAGAGAGCGACCAGCCACACUGGGACUGAGAAACGGCCCAGACUCCUACGGGAGGCAGCAGUGAGGAAUUUUCCGCAAUGGGCGAAAGCCUGACGGAGCGACGCCGCGUGUGGGAAGAAGGCCUUCGGGUCGUAAACCACUGUCGAAGGGGACGAUAAUGACGGUACCCUUGGAGGAAGCCCCGGCUAACUACGUGCCAGCAGCCGC